AUACGAAGGGGGCUAGCGUUGUUCGGAAUCACUGGGCGUAAAGCGCGCGUAGGUGGAUCAAUUAGUUGAGGGUGAAAUCCCGGGGCUCAACCUCGGAACUGCCUUCAAUACUGUUGAUCUUGAGACCGAGAGAGGUGAGUGGAAUUCCUAGUGUAGAGGUGAAAUUCGUAGAUAGUAGGAAGAACACCAGUGGCGAAGGCGGCUCACUGGCUCGGUACUGACGCUGAGGUGCGAAAGCGUGGGGAGCAAACAGGAUUAGAAACCCCAGUAGUCC
rnacentral:rRNA from 1 species